rnacentral:rRNA from 1 species
GUUGUCCGGAUUAUUGGGCGUAAAGAGCUUGUAGGCGGUUUGUCGCGUCUGCUGUGAAAGGCCGGGGCUUAACCCCGUGUAUUGCAGUGGGUACGGGCAGACUAGAGUGCAGUAGGGGAGACUGGAAUUCCUGGUGUAGCGGUGGAAUGCGCAGAUAUCAGGAGGAACACCGAUGGCGAAGGCAGGUCUCUGGGCUGUAACUGACGCUGAGAAGCGAAAGCAUGGGGAGCGAACAGGAUUAGAUACCCUGGUAGUCCAUGCCGUAAACGUUGGGCACUAGGUGUGGGGGACAUUCCACGUUUUCCGCGCCGUAGCUAACGCAUUAAGUGCCCCGCCUGGGGAGUACGGCCGCAAGGCUAAAACUCAAAGAAAUUGACGGGGGCCCGCACAAGCGGCGGAGCAUGCGGAUUAAUUCGAUGCAACGCGAAGAACCUUACCAAGGCUUGACAUAUACUGGACCGCAUCAGAGAUGGUGUUUCCCUUCGGGGCUGGUAUACAGGUGGUGCAUGGUUGUCGUCAGCUCGUGUCGUGA